AUUGGAAUGAGAGUGAGAGAAGGCAACUGAGUUUGGAAAUAUUUUUUCUGACUAGCUUUUCUUUCCAAAUGCCACUGAACUUAGAUUGGUUUAGGAAGGGUUGUAGUACAUCAAAGUGGCUAGAAGCACAGGUUUGGGGAUCAGAUAAGGAUUUCAUUCUAGAGUGUGAUCUUGUACAAGUUAUUCAGCCUUUGCAAACCUCAGAUUCACACAAUGUAAGAUGAAGAAACUCACCUUCUGAAAAUUAGAGAUAACAUAUGCAAAGUGAAUCAAUACAGGGCUUAACAUAUUUAUCACCCCUUUGGUAAAUAACCAUGACGAUUACCAGAGCUCUUAAGGGCAAUGGCAGGUGGGAAGCAGAACUCAUGGGUGGUAAUCCCCAGGCCAGCCAGGCUCACCAUGUGCACUUGGACAAGUCCUUGCCCCCAUCAUUGUGAAAUGGUGCAGGGAUGCACCAUGAGGGUGUGGCAGGAUGGCUGACAACAGACUGGGAAGCAGCUCGGCAGAAAAACUGGAUUGAUGCCCACUAUGGCAAGAGAUAUCAUCUCCCCUCUUGUUCUGUGAUGUUUCAGUCCUGGAAAGACAAGCAUCAUGCCUCUGACCAGUGCCUUCAGGGCUGUGGACAACGACCCUGGGAUCAUUGUCUGGAGAAUAGAGGAGGGGGAGUCAGCUCUCCAGCAAGCCUCGCAGAGAUUGUGAGUCCCAGGUCACUUCCACUGUUUGAAGGCUUCCAGUUUCCUUAAAAACUAACAGGUACUGGCGGGGUGCGGUGGCUCACGCCUGUAAUCCCAGCACUCUGGGAGGCUGAGGCGG
rnacentral:lncRNA from 10 species